rnacentral:rRNA from 1 species
UAGGGAAUCUUCGGCAAUGGACGGAAGUUUGACCGAGCAACGCCACGUGAGUGAAGAAGGUUUUCGGAUCGUAAAGCUCUGUUGUAAGAGAAGAACGAGUGUGAGAGUGGAAAGUUCACACUGUGACGGUAACUUACCAGAAAGGGACGGCUAACUACGUGCCAGCAGCCGCGGUAAUACGUAGGUCCCGAGCGUUAUCCGGAUUUAUUGGGCGUAAAGCGAGCGCAGGCGGUUAGAUAAGUCUGAAGUUAAAGGCUGUGGCUUAACCAUAGUACGCUUUGGAAACUGUUUAACUUGAGUGCAGAAGGGGAGAGUGGAAUUCCAUGUGUAGCGGUGAAAUGCGUAGAUAUAUGGAGGAACACCGGUGGCGAAAGCGGCUCUCUGGUCUGUAACUGACGCUGAGGCUCGAAAGCGUGGGGAGCAAACAGGAUUAGAUACCCUGGUAGUCCACGCCGUAAACGAUGAGUGCUAGGUGUUGGGUCCUUUCCGGGACUCAGUGCCGCAGCUAACGCAUUAAGCACUCCGCCUGGGGAGUACGACCGCAGGUUG